ACGAAUUCAUGGUCCGGUGAAGUGUUCGGAUCUCGGCGAAGUGGGCGGUUCGCUGCCCGCGAGUCGCGAGAAGUCCACUGAACCUUAUCAUUUAGAGGAAGGAGAAGUCGUAACAAGGUUUCCGUAGGUGAACCUGCGGAAG
rnacentral:rRNA from 1 species